GUUCCGAUAGUUCGACCAUGGUGGAAGGCUGGUUAAACCGUUUGGUUUACGACCACUACGACCCGGGUUCGAUCCCCGCAUUGGACACU